AGGACAUCAAGGCUCAUCAUCUUCAUGAGAACAGGACCUUUUUUAAAAUUGUUUUGUUCACUGCCAUAGUCCUAGCACCCAGAAGAGUAGCUGGCACAUAAUCAGCUCUCGAUAAAUGUUUCUUGAUAUUUCUAUGAGCGUGUACAUCCCCUGGGUCCAGCACCUUUUUCAUAAGUGCUAAUUUGAGUGCACAAAUGACUUCAAGGUGGCUUUGAACAAGACAUAUAUUCCGGUGUGAGUGUCUGCAUCUGGGAAAUACACUGGAGGAAUGCUCCUCCUUCGUUUCCCAAGUAAGUCUCUAACAGUUUGUACAUAUGAAGUGUGCUAGUCAGGAUGUGGGGGGUCAGAUCUGAAACCUGAUUGUAACUUGAAGGCAUAAAAUAAUCACACAGCUGUGUGCCUGGGCCCUGAGCGGCACUGGGCCUAAAGCAUAAUGUGCUUCAUCUGAUUUGCUGGAGAAUCUGGAUUUGUCGAGGCUCUUGGCUCAUUUGCUUCAGGUAGAUGCUCUUAUUUGCACAGCAAUCCAAGGGGUGGAAACAGAGCUGAGGUCUCUAGGAAGGGAGAGGGCAGCACAAGUUGGGGGGGCCACCCAGGGAGAACUCACCCAUCCCCACAUACUUUUCAUCAGAAGUGGGGUAAUGGCUUUACCUGGACCUGGGGUUUUGUGGGGCUACCAUUUACCCAAAAGCAGAUCAGGCUAGCUCCAUUACUAAGAAGAAGAAGAGAGUUGGCAACAGGGGCCUGGUCCUUUAGCCUGGAGAUUCAAAGACAGGGAUGAGUGAAAAGAGGUUUCAUAGGUUGACAAAGCUUUUAAAACCCCCAAAUCUGUUAGGAUCUAGUGAAAGAUGGAGGAGGCUGAACAUGAGAAACUGGUUUUUGGUACCUCUGGAUCUCCCCAGCUGACCACAGCCACCAAAAGCCUUGAUCGAUCCUCGAAGGUUGCGCUGUGCUAGACUCUUCUGGAAAGUGCUUGUGAGACCUGCAGGGAUGUUUCCCCUGUCUGUGAGCAUCCCGAAACCACCACUGGAAGCAAGGCAAACCGUCGCCCACCUGGCUCCGUGUAACUGCAGACUGUGCUGGUGCUUCUCAAGCCCAAGUGGAUGGGAUUUUGUUAAAAUGACUCAGCAGGUCUGGGGGAUGGCCUGAGAUUCCAUAUUUCUACCAGGCAUCCAGGUGAUGCUGCUGCUGCUGCUGGUUCUUGAGAAACAAGGCCCUGUGUGAGCACCUUGCAAGAUAAUGCAGGGCUCUGGAGCGGCGGGAGUAAUGGAGGGGGAGAGGAGGCCGGAUACAUGCUGACUCCUCACUCAACCUGUCUGAACUGUGGAUUCCUCAUUUAAAACGUGGAAUAAUUACAAACCUUACCCCACAGAGCCGCUAUGAAAAUAGCUAAUGCUCUCAGAUUCAAGAAGGACAAAGCCAUCACCACAGAAGAUUCCCAUGACGUGGCGUUUACUCUGCUCUCCGAAAAUGAAGGAUUGGUUCAUAGGACCCUUACUGCUGGCUAAGAAAUGACAUGCAUGUGACAACGUGAUGCUCUUAUCUGUAUCAUCUUGCAAUGUUUCUUUGGAACAUUAAAAACAAAGUCAGUUAUCAUCCUGGUCUCACACGCUCCUGAGUGCUCAGUUCUACUGCAUUUGAGGCUCCCUUCACUCAGGCUUCUCAACCCCCAAGUUGAAAAGCAGCUAAAGAUCCCUUGAUGGAUAUAGUUUAGGGAAAUAGAAGUAAUUCUUGGCACAACUGCUUUUUAAUGCAACACAAGAACUGUAAUUGCCACUGGAAAGCAGAAACAUUAUGGAAUGUUACAAGAUCCAUUUGAUUUGGGAAAAAAUAUAGUACAAUUCAGCCCAAGUGGUGACUAGUAAGUUAGCAGGGAAGACAGGAGAUGGAGCAAUAAAUAAUUUUCAGUUUUUAAGUUAAAUGUUUCAAUCCUCAUGAUAUAUUUAAUUCCUAACUUUGGGAAGUAUUGUACAGUGAAUUAGCUCAUUAAAUCCAGUAAGAAAAGCCUAGCUUAGCAGCUAACUGGGGAUAAGAAGAGGGUGAAAGCAUCUAUGUUUAAGGUCUUCUCAAACAAUGAAACAGAGAUAAUAUUAAUCCAUAGCCCUUAGCAUUUUUCAGAAAGUAUCUCUGGAUUAAUUCUGAUAGACUCUUGCAAGUUAUCACACUUUCUGGAAACAUUCAUGAAUGUAGACAGAAUUUAACUUCAGUAAGGUGAUUACCUGGCUCUGUCUCUAUUUCAGACUUUUUUCUCUAAGCAGAAUGCACUCAACAGGGAAAAUAUCCUAUUCUCGGUUAAAUCUUGGAAGAUGCAAAAUGCAUAAGUGUCCAGAGAAAAAUAGGACUAUUGUUACUCUGCACAGCCCACUCCUCAAGGCGUUCCCAUGCUUUUAGAAUCGAGUUUGUCUACAGUCAGAGGGAGGUAAAGAAAGAAUUGUUGGUCUGUGGGUAGUGAGGAUUAGGAUAGGCCAGUUUUGUUUUAACAAGCCUUCCACAGGGUCCUACUCAGCAUGCUUUGGCUCAACACUUCUGUCAUCUUUGUUGUUGCUGUCAUUACUAUUAUUACUAUUAUUUUGGUCCCAGAUGGAAUAGAAAUUUUCCCAGAAUUACUAAAUAGCCAGUUGUAACGCCAUGUUCAACUAUGUCCUCUAUCUAAAUUUAGCACAGGUGCAUGCGUAACCACUGUCAGAUUUAUUACCCAUUUUCUACAAGAACAAAUCAUACUACCAGAUAUUUGUGAAUUUCAUUAAAAAAAAAAAAGUCUACCAAAUGGAAUACAGAACAUCUGACACAAGAUCUGGGGUUGAAAAAUUUUCCACUUAUAAGGCCACAUUCUGCAUUCCUUCUCUUGACAGGUAUCCAAUUUGGGUUGAAAUUCUACAUUCAGGAAAUGUCUUCUUAGUCUUCUCUCCUUAUUAGGAUGUUAUUUUUAAAAGAGAACUUAAAAAAUCUUGAGAGGUAUUUGAUGC
rnacentral:lncRNA from 1 species